UGGGGAAUUUUCCGCAAUGGGCGAAAGCCUGACGGAGCAACGCCGCGUGAGGGAUGAAGGCCUCUGGGCUGUAAACCUCUUUUCUCAAGGAAGAAGAUCUGACGGUACUUGAGGAAUAAGCCACGGCUAAUUCCGUGCCAGCAGCCGCGGUAAUACGGGAGUGGCAAGCGUUAUCCGGAAUCAUUGGGCGUAAAGCGUCCGCAGGUGGCUUUGUAAGUCUGCCGUUAAAGCGUGGAGCUUAACUCCAUUUCAGCGGUGGAAACUACAAGGCUUGAGUGUGGUAGGGGCAGAGGGAAUUCCCGGUGUAGCGGUGAAAUGCGUAGAUAUCGGGAAGAACACCAGUGGCGAAGGCGCUCUGCUGGGCCAUAACUGACACUCAUGGACG
rnacentral:rRNA from 1 species